rnacentral:rRNA from 1 species
GACGAACGCUGGCGGCGCGCUUAACACAUGCAAGUCGAACGGAAAGGCCUGCUUUCCCUUGUGGAUUGCGGGUACUCGAGUGGCGAACGGGUGAGUAACACGUGAGUGAUCUGCCCCCAACUUGGGUAUAAGCCUGGGAAACUGUGUCUAAUUCCCGAUAGGACUGCAGGGUGGUGCCUGUGGUGGAAAACGAUUUUCUAGUGGUUGGGGAUGAGCUCGCGGCCUAUCAGCUUGUUGGUGGGGUAAUGGCCUACCACGUCGGCGACGGGUAGCCUGCCUGAGAGGGUGGACGGCGACAUUGGGACAGAGAUACGGCCCAGACUCCUACGGGAGGAAGGAGUGGGGAAGAUUGGACAAUGGGCGGAAGCCUGAUGCAGCGACGCAGCGUGGGGGAUGACGGCCUUCGGGUUGUAAACUCCUUGCGACCGCGAGGAAGCCACCUGGUUGGAAGGGUGGUGACGGUAGUGGUAGAAGAAGCACCGGCUAACUACGUG